AGGAUGAACGCUGGCGGCGUGCCUAAUACAUGCAAGUCGAACGGGCUCUUCGGAGCUAGUGGCGGACGGGUGAGUAACACGUUGGUACCUACCCCUAAGUGGGGAAUAACUGCCCGAAAGGGUGGCUAAUACCGCAUAAUCCCGCAAGGGUAAAGCAGUAAUGCGCUUAGGGAGGGGCCUGCGUCCCAUUAGCUUGUUGGUAGUGUAAUGGACUACCAAGGCGACGAUGGGUAGCUGGAUCGAGAGGUUGACCAGCCACACUGGGACUGAGAUACGGCCCAGACUCCUACGGGAGGCAGCAGUAAGGAAUCUUCCACAAUGGACGAAAGUCUGAUGGAGCAACGCCGCGUGCAGGAUGACGGCCUUCGGGUUGUAAACUGCUUUUAUAUGGGAAGAUUAUGACGGUACCAUAUGAAUAAGGACCGGCUAACUACGUGCCAGCAGCCGC
rnacentral:rRNA from 1 species